GUAGAAUUUCAAACAAUAACACUGGAACACCUGGUUAACACGUUAGAUGAUAUGUACAGUUGUAAAUUGUGGUUUUAAUAGUUGCUCACUGGGGGACUUAAAAGGGUCUCAUUGUUCUGUUUGGCAGAUAUUAAAAAAAAAAUCAGGGACUACUUGGGAUUUAAAAGCCACGCACGUGAUUCCAAUGCCACUCAGCUCAUGAAAUUUAAUCACUGGACCCCACUGGUGGCAGUUUCUACAGGGGAGACCCAUGGCCACAUGGUGGGGUUUUCAAGUUCUCCAAAGUCAUCGUCCAGCUUCAAGUCUAAAGAAAUCCAUUCAUUUCUUAUUGCUAAGAAAACAGGGAAGAUUUUUACAUCUAAACACGAAGGUCCUGUGUGCUGGGCCUCAUCACCCGGAGAGAGAGGCUGCGCCCGGCUUCCCAGUCCCUGGCAUCCUGCAGGCUGCAGGCAGUGAGGUUCAGGAACAGGUUCUGACUUCCUGGCAUUUCUUCUGGAAACUUCUUGGGACCCUCCUGUGUCUCCUAAAGAAAGGCUUGAGUCAAAGGGCAAGACUGCCCUACUAGGCAGGGGACAUUCAGAUGCCAGCGCCUCCCUGACUAUGAAGGGACUGACAGAGAGGCUACUGAGUCUUCCUCAUGACAGCCAAUUGUCAGUUUUAUCCCCCAACUCCCAGCCCCAGGCCUCACAACUAGUGGGUCUGCAUUCCUCACACACAGUGGGUCUGCAUUCCUCACACACAGUGGGUCCAGUUCCUCCCACACAGUAGGUGCCUGUUGCCUGGCAAGCACCAGUGCCCAGUGGUUGCUGAAUGACUCUGUCGGAGCGCUCUGCCUUGCUCCCUGUCGGGGCCUGCGUCUGUCAUGUCUUUUCCAGUUGAGCUUGCAGGGAAGGUCAGCAGAUCCUCUCACAUCCCGCUGAGACAAGAAGUUCGGCGUGCAGGAGCAAGGCAGUCAGACUAGAAGGGCAGCUCGUUCUGUGAGAGGUAUUGUCGGGGUGAAGCUGCUCACAAAAGCCCUAAUAGUUGCUGGACUGACCGCCAAAAUUGAUGUGACUUCCAUCAUCACAGCAGGGAAGGCCCCUGCACACCUGUGUGGCCUCCGUUUGCAAUUCCUAGUUCCCAAAAACUACAUCUCCACUGCCCAGCGUCCUCUUCCUGGCUGCCAUGUGGAGGGAGAUGUGGAAGCUCACCGAGGUCUGGGACCUGCCCGUGCCAAGCCAAAGCCCACCGUCCUGGGCCAUUUUCACCUCUACAGAAUUUCAAACAUUAAAAAAUAUGUAUUGUGUGGUUUAGAUGUUUAAAUUCUUACUGUUCGUUCUGUGUCUUAGAUUUUGCUAUGAGGAACUGAAGUUUUAAUGGUGAUGUCAGAUGGAGAAUAUGUCUCCUUUUGCUUAAAGGUUUCACUCUUACAACCAUGGAAGAUUCUAUGCUCAGCUUCCGGCGAGACUAACAGUGACAGAGGAAUCACAAAUACAGCUCAGAAUGGUUUGUGCCGUGUUGUUUUCAUUCCUACCUUAUUUCUGUUGCACUGGGGGGCAUUCACUGAGGGUCUGCAGCGUCUCAUUCAGGCCUCCUAACUGCCUACCGGCCCUGGAGUGUCUGCAGGCAUCUCCAGCUGAACCUCAGAUUCCUCCAGCCUCUUCCCCUGACACAGGCUUCCUUGCCUUCUCACCCUGCCCCUGGCCACGGCUCAGGCCACACGGCUCUGGGUGCUGUCCUUAGAGUGCUUGCAGCUCUCCAUCCCACACAUGUCCCAGAUCUGGCCCUGACAUUCUAUCCUGCUGCCAUGAACCUAGCUCAAGUCACUGCCAUCUUCCUCCAGCUCCACCAUCACUGAGAGUCACUAACAGCCUUUCAGUGGGUCUCUGCUUAGCCUCCUCCCGGUUGCCCCACUCUCCACACCUCAGCUGGUGCUCUUGGACUGAUGGUUUUCUGGGCAUGAUGCUCUGGAGAUUCCCAUGGCUCUCGGAGUUCAAGUGGCCCAUCACAGCCUGGGUCUCGCUCCUGCCACACCCUUCAGCCUCACCUGCAAGCCAGGGUCACCUCUGUACCAGCUCAUCACCCUUGAGUUUCUCUGGGCCCAGAAUGCCUUUCUGCUGCCUUCUCCAGGCUGCUUCCUUCAACUCUGGGCAGAGAGGUCCUGCCAGGAAACCCAGCCAUCCCUGGGAUGGUCCCUAAAUGAUCCCUUCCUCCACAGCACUCAUGGAUGCCGGACACUGUGGCAUUUGUGUCUGCUGUUGCAUCCACCAGCACGACUCCAUGGGGGCAAGGCAUGGUCAUGUCCCUUUGCAGAGGACAAGGCAGCCCCUGGCACAGUGCAGGGAGCUAGGGGACAGUCAGUGAAUGGACAUGUGAGAGCAUGAGACCUGGAAGGUGGACAGUAUUAGCCCAUCUAUGGAAAAGGUCACUGAGGCUUGUGGGGCCAGUGUCUUGCCUGUGGUCAUGCAGCUUCCGUGUAGCAGAGCCUGGUCAUCAUCGGUUCUUCUACAAAUCCAGUGGUCCAUGUGACAGUGCAAUGCACCAUGUGAGCACAAGGAUUCCAGAUUGUUCUUCCUGCUGGUGGGAUUCAACUCACAGGCCAGGAAGCCCAUUGACUUCAGAAGCUAUUCAAGUUAUUCCUUCCAGCAGGGCCUCCUUGCCUGGCAGGAGGUCACCGCCAUCUUUAAUGUGUUUGUAUACUGGCAGGUCCUCCGGGCUGUGCCUGCUGAGUCCCGAUCUAUCUGAAUUGUCAUAUACUUACUUUACAAACCAAGUUAUCAAUCUGCAUCUGACCAAGAGUCAUGCCAUUUUCCAGACAAUUCAGCAAUGGCUUCUGUCUCUAUCAAUCCUAUGGCUAUUUCCAUGCAAAUAUUUUGGAAAAAAGUACUUCACUUUACUUGCCUUGUUUUGAUAUUCUCUCUUCCCUUGUAGCAAAAGAGUUACUUUUAGGCCUGCAAGGAAAAUCUGCAAUUUCCCCAACGCGGCAAAAUUGGACAGUUGAAAGAGGAUGGCCCCGAGGUGCUGUUCUUGGUGCAGCUGCUCUGGAGCUGAGCAAAGGGCCUUUGCAGGAUUCCCUUCAAGGCAGUUAAUGAAUUACAACCACAUCAUUACCUCUACAUGUUGGUUUUAAACACAUAUUUAUUCUUCUCUAGCUCAACAGUUACACUCUGGAGUGAACCCAGGGCUGCUGAGCAGCUCUUUCUCCUCAGAAUUCCUUUUCUUCUACUUCAUAAUCUCCUUCUUUCUCUUCCCCUUUUCUUCUUCUUCAUGUCCUUCUCUUUUUUCACCUUCUCCUCUUUCUCCUUCUUUUCCUUCUCUUAUUUUCUUUCUCUCUCUCUACUCUUUUCUUUCUCUCUAUUAUUUUUCUCUCAUUUGAAUCCUUUAUUUUAAUGAGGCUACACCUUCUCACCCGGCACAAGGUAACUACUCUGAAAAUCCUAACGGGCACAAAUGGAUUCUUUAGUGUUAGAAUCUGGCACAGGUUCCAAUAAGAGCUUGGGUACCACUUUGCCAAUUUCCUUUUCUUUUUUUCUUUUCAGACUCCUCCUAGGUGGGCAGGGAUUGAAAGGAAGAAAGUGUGAUAUCGUCGUGCGCCUGUCUUCCUUUCUGCCCUCAUUCCAGGCUUUCUAUUCCGUGAGUGCAAAAGGAAACAGGAUGCACCUGAAUUACUGAACAGUACAAGGGAAUUUAAUUAAGAAUAUACACAUUAGAAUUUCAGUGGGAUUGCCUAUUUAAUGUUACUUUAUUAAGCCUUCUAUCAAACCCUUUUUUAUGUAUAUCAGUUGAUAUACAAUUAAUCUGUUCUCUUGUGAGAAAAAAAAAUAGCACCUGAGGUGAAUGAAAAGUGUCAGAUGAGAAUAAUUAUAAGCAGCUGUUCACUUGGAGCACCUCUGGCCUACAUGGGGGAUGCUGUGAGCUACCACUCCUCGCAACAGCCCACCUCAUUAGACUUGACCUUCCCAGCUGGGGAUU